GAUGAACGCUAGCGGCAGGCCUAAUACAUGCAAGUCGAACGGUGUAGCAAUACACAGUGGCGCACGGGUGCGUAACACGUAUGCAACCUACCUAUCAUUGGGGGAUAGCCUUUGGAAACGGAGAUUAAUACCGCAUAAGACGGUAACAUGGCAUCAUGUAGCUGUUAAAGCUUUGGCGAUGAUAGAUGGGCAUGCGUCCAAUUAGUUAGUUGGUGAGGUAACGGCUCACCAAGACGAUGAUUGGUAGGGGAUCUGAGAGGAUAAUCCCCCACACUGGCACUGAGAUACGGGCCAGACUCCUACGGGAGGCAGCAGUAGGGAAUAUUGGGCAAUGGACGGAAGUCUGACCCAACCAUGCCGCGUGCAGGAAGAAGGCGUUAUGCGUUGUAAACUGCUUUUUUAUAGGAAGAAGGAGACCUUGCGAGGUUUGGUGGCGGUACUAUAAGAAUAAGCACCGGCUAACUCCGUGCCAGCAGCCGCGGUAAUAC
rnacentral:rRNA from 1 species